UUGAAAGGGAAACGAUUGAAGUCAGUCAUACCAACGGGAAAUCAACCUUUUGAGCUCGGUUUCGUGGGUUUUGAAGAGUUUCAAAGCCUUCGGAUUCGCGAGAUUGGGAUCUCUCGGUGUACUUUCUCGUACGGUUAGUCAACAUCGGUUUUGAAUGUCAUAAAAUGACUGGAGGAAUGUAGCUUCGAUCUCGUAUUGAAGUGUUAUAGCCUUUGGUAGAUGUGAUGUUUGAGACCGAGGAUUGCAACGGAUACCCUUCAGGGCUAUUCGUCUGAUCUCUGAUACGUUGCCUUGAUGUUGAAAGCUUGCUUAUGAUGUUAGGGUAUUACGGUCAAAAGGUUAGAACGAAUUACAUUCGUUAAGGAUGUUGACGUA
rnacentral:rRNA from 1 species